CCGGCGGUUGUCGUUGAAAACACCGCCGAGCAGACUACCCAGAAGCCAAUCGAGGAGCAGCCCGCGGUUGUGACUGCGGCUGAGACUGCCGAGGAGGAUCCGGCUCAGGCGAGGACCGGGGCGAGCACCCAGACAAGGGACGAUGAGGCUGCGAGGACGCCUCCCCCGAGUAGUGUCGCGGAGGAGGAAGACAGAGCCCCGACUUCCCUGCUAGCUGGAGAUAGGAGGGCCCUGACUCCACCCCGAGCAGAAGCUUCUUCACCAAAGGGCUCCCCUAGACAGGGUAAGGGUCCAGUGAUACCCGUGACCACGGCUGGGGGUAGCACGGAGGGCGGGGAGGCCUAGACAACCUCCAACGAUGAAGUGGAAGAGAUCCAGGGGCACCCCCAUGAUGGUCGCCAACACGUGUUCAUGUGGCACCAACAUGUGGACCACUUCAUCGGCCACGAAGAGCUUGCCGAGACCGAGGAGGCGGCAAGGGUAGAGCGCGCUGCCAAGCGGCUCGUUGAUGCAGUCAAGGUAGGUGGUCUUGUGUUUCGCCAAAAUAUGUAUAUAUUGUUGCUUGUUUACUUCACAAUACGUGUAAUUCUUGCAGGGCACAAUGAAAACGGCGAAGUACCGAAAAAGGUGCUUCGACCAAAUUGAAGGGAUCGUGGCCGAGAAUAAGGCCCUGACCGUGGAGGUGGACCGCCUUCGGUCGGAGGUCGAGGAGAAGGCGGCCGAGAAGGCAGCUCAGGAAGAGCGCCUGCUCGAUCUUAAUCGGCGACUAGCCGACAAGGAGCAUGCCGGUGCGCUGGAGGCCAGGCGCCAGGCUGGCGAGGAGCUAAAAAACAAGAGUCGAGAGUUGGCUGGUAAGAGCCGUUUCACCCUUUUUGAUUACACAACGUUCCUUUUCUCGUGUUUAUACUGACUUCUUGCUUGGUUUUCUGUCAUAGUGCUUAAAGUCAAUACUAAGAAGCACCUCGACGAGCUGGUCAAGGACCGGGACUCCUGGAAGACCAACUGUAUCAAGAUCUGGAAAGGAGUGGCCCCGGUUCUCGACUUGAUCAGCCCCGAGCUCCACGAAGACCAGCCCCGCGCAUCGAGGCUGACCUCGGUCGAGAAGGCGCAACAGGCGUGGGGCUGGCUUCAGCAGUUUGUCAAGGACAUCGGGGAGUUUGCCGGGGCGCACGUCCUCAGCAUGGUACGUGCCCACUACCCCUGGUUGACUUGUCCCGGCUGGAGAGGGGGUAUCCCAAGGAGGUUGGUCCGCAGGAGGCAGAUGACCUUUGUGUCGGCCUGCUCGACUUGUCGUCGACAGUGAUCAGCGACAUAAACCUCUGUGGGACGUCAACUCCCCUCAACCAACCCGGAUCAGACAGGUCAGCUAGGGAGUUGUCGGGGGCGUCCAUUGCAGGAGAUGGGCGGUCGACGCCUACGGUCUUGUCCAGCCAGACGCCGGUGGCCCCGAACCCUUCGACUGGACAGCAGAGCCGUGCGGGUGAUCAGCCCGAGCAGUAGGCUUAUAAGGUAGUCUGUAGGAGUAGACUAGAGACCGCCCAGAGGGGUGUUUAUUGUAAACUUUGUGUAUAAAGUUUGUAAUAAAGCUUAAUUUAUCGUAACCAUGGUUUUGAGCGCUGUAAUAUUGUUUGAGUGAUGUAUCACUGAGUCAAGUUGACGGUCUUUGAGGACCUUUGUCCUUGAAAGUAAUUUGUAGUACUUGUCGAAUGUUCUGCGUAUGAAAAAAGUAUAUAGCAAAAAAGAUAGGUUUAAUUAUUAUUCAUCAUAAAGGAUUUACAAAUGAAAUGUACUAGAACUUAGGGAUAGAAACGGCGUAAUUUGUCUAUGUGCUAGGAGUUGGGCAAGCGUGUUCCGUCUAGGUACGCCAGUCUGUAAGAUGUAGGGCGUGUGACUUCGGCGACCACGAAGGGUCCUUCCCAAGGUGUAGAUAACUUGUGCAUUCCUUCUUGGCUUGUUUUCCAUUUGAGUACCAGAUCACCGACCACGAAGGAGCGGUCUUUGACGUUCCUGUUGUGGUUCCGCCUAAUCGCUGUUCGAAGGCAAGAGAUUAGGCGCUUUUCUUCUGUGCAGUUGAUUUCGAGUUCUGUGGCGAGGUCGGCCGAAGACUGGUCGAAAUGUUCGACUCUUGGAGACCCAAAGACCACGUCCGAAGGGAGCACUGCUUCGGUGCCGUAAACCACGAAGUAGGGCGAUGCACCCGUGUUGCGACUAGCCUGUGUUCGGAGACCCCAAACCACAGCCGGUAACUCUUUCAUCCAUCGUCCUGGUGCUCUGCCGUUUUCAGUAUACAUCCUUUUCUUCAAAGCAUCGAUAAUCAUUCCGUUUGCUCGCUCCACGUGACCGUUGGCCCGUGGGUGGGCUACCGACACGUACUUUAUGACCAUGCUUCUGUCAUCGCAGAAGUCCCAUAAUGUAGUGCCGGUGAACUGAGUGCCCAGAUCAGUGAUUAUGCUGUUGGGGACCUCGAAUCUAUGUAUGAUUUGAUUGAGGAACUCCACGGCCUUCUCGGAAGUUGCUUUGACCAGUGGCAUGUACUCGAUCCAUUUCGAGAAUUUGUCGAUUAGUACGAAGACAAAUUUGAAAUUGCCGGGGGCCGGCUUGAAUGGUCCGAUCAUGUCGAGGCCCCAACAGGCGAACGGCCAGGACGACGGAAUCGUCUGAAUCUCGUGAGCGGGUACGUGGGUCCGCUUGGCGAAAAACUGGCAUCCUUCACAGUGUCGGACCAGUUUCUCGGCGUCGGCGACUGCGGUUGGCCAGUAAAAACCUGCUCGGAAAGCCUUCCCGACCAGUGUUCUGGAAGCGGCGUGGUUACCACAGGACCCGGCGUGUAUGUCAUCUAGGAGCUUGACGCCAUCAUCUUGGGAUAUGCAUUUCAGCAAUACUUCGAAACUUACGUUCUUAUACAUAUGUUUGCCGCCGACCAGUAUGUAAUUCUUAGAUCGCCGAAUAAGGCGCUCGUUCUCCGUUUUAUCUUGAAAUCCCGAACCGUCGGAUAGAUACUGGAUGAAGGGAGUGCGCCAGUCGUGGCUGCUGGUUGCCGGAGUGCUAUCGUCUAUGUGCAUUGCCUCAUUGGGUUGCUUGUCGACCAGACCGAGGAGGCGGCAAGGGUAGAGCGCGCUGCCAAGCGGCUCGUUGAUGAAGUCAAGGUAGGUGGUCUUGUGUUUCGCCAAAAUAUGUAUAUAUUGUUGCUUGCUUACUUCACAACACGUGUAAUUCUUGCAGGGCGCAAUGAAAACGGUGAAGUAUCGAAAAAGGUGCUUCGACCAAAUUGAAGGGAUCGUGGCCGAGAAUAAGGCCCUGACCGCGGAGGUGGACCGCCUUCGGUCGGAGGUCGAGGAGAAGGCGGCCGAGAAGGCAGCUCAGGAAGAGCGCCUGCUCGAUCUUAAUCGGCGACUAGCCGACAAGGAUCGGGAGAAGAAAGGUAAGUCGUGCGUUCCGAGCAGUUGUAUUUAACUACGUGGUCGGGUUUUUGACCAGCGAUUAUUUCUGCAGAUCUGGAGGAGGAGAUUAAUCGCCUCCUUGGGGAAAGGGAAUAGCUCGACCAGGAGCGUGCCGGUGCGCUGGAGGCCGGGCUCCAGGCUAGCGAGGAGCUAAAAAACAAGAGUCGAGAGUUGGCUGGUAAGAGCCGUUUCGCCCUUUUUGAUUACACAACGUUCCUUUUCUCGUGUUUAUACUAACUUCUUGCUUGGUUUUCUAUUAUAGUGCUUAAAGUCAAUACUAAGAAGCACCUCGACGAGCUGGUCAAGGACCGGGACUCCUGGAAGACCAACUGUAUCAAGAUCUAGAAAGGAGUGGCCCCGGUUCUCGACUUGAUCAGCCCCGAGCUCCCCGAAGACCAGCCCCGCGCAUCGAGGCUGACCCCGGUCGAGAAGGCGCAACAGGUGUGGGGCUGGCUUCAGCAGUUUGUCAAGGACGCCGGGGAGUUUGCCGAGGCGCACGUCCUCAGCAUGGUACGUGCCCACUACCCCUGGUCGACUUGUCCCGGCUGGAGAGGGGGUAUCCCAAGGAGGUUGGUCCGCAGGAGGUAGAUGACCUUCGUGUCGGCCUGCUCGACUUGUUGUCGACAGUGAUCGGUGACAUAAACCUCUAUGGGACGUCAACUCCCCUCAACCAACUCGGAUCAGACAGGUCAGCUAGGGAGUUGUCGGGGGCGUCCAUUGCAGGAGAUGGGCGGUCGACGCCUGCGGUCUCGUCCAGCCAGACGCCGGUGGCCCCGACCCCUUCGACUGGACAAUAGAGCCGUGCGGGUGAUCAACCCGAGCAGUAGGCUUGUAAGGUAGUCUGAAGGAGUAGACUAGAGACCGCCCAGAGGGGUGUUUAUUGUAAACUUUGUGUAUAAAGUUUGUAAUAAAGCUUAAUUUAUCGUAACCAUGGUUUUGAGCGCUGUAAUAUUGUUUGAGUGAUGUAUCACUGAGUCAAGUUGACGGUGUUUGAGGACCUUUGUCCUUGAAAGUAAUUUGUAGUACUUGUCGAAUGUUCUGCGUAUGAAAAAAGUAUAUAGCAAAAAAGACAGGUUUAAUUAUUAUUCGUCAUAAAGGAUUUACAAAUGAAAUGUACUAGAACUUAGGGAUCGAAAUGGCGUAAUUUGUCUAUGUGCUAUGAGUUGGGCAAGCGUGUUCCGUCUAGGUACGCCAGUCUGUAAGAUGUAGGGCGUGUGACUUCGGCGACCACGAAGGGUCCUUCCCAAGGUGUAGAUAACUUGUGCAUUCCUUCUUGGCUUGUUUUCCAUUUGAGUACCAGAUCACCGACCACGAAGGAGCGGUCUUUGACGUUCCUGUUGUGGUUCCGCCUAAUCGCUGUUCGAAGGCACGAGAUUAGGCGCUUUUCUUCUGUGCAGUUGAUUUCGAGUUCUCUGGCGAGGUCGGCCGAAGACUGGUCGAAAUGUUCGACUCUUGGAGACCCAAAGACCACGUCCGAAGGGAGCACUGCUUCGGUGCCGUAAACCAUGAAGUAGGGUGAUGCACCCGUAUUGCGACUAGCCUGUGUUCGGAGACCCCAAACCACAGCUGGUAACUCUUUCAUCCAUCGUCUUGGUGCUCUGUUGUUUUCAGUAUACAACCUUUUCUUCAAAGCAUCGAUAAUCAUUCCGUUUGCUCGCUCUACUUGACCGUUGGCCCGUGGGUGGGCUACCGACACGUACUUUAUGACUAUGCUUCUGUCAUCGCAGAAGUCCCAUAAUGUAGUGCCGGUGAACUGAGUGCCCAGAUCAGUGAUUAUGCUAUUGGGGACCCCGAUUCUAUGUAUGAUUUGAUUGAGGAACUCCACGGCCUUCUCGGAAGUUGCUUUGACCAGUGGCAUGUACUCGAUCCAUUUCGAGAAUUUGUCGAUUAGUACGAAGACAAAUUUGAAAUUGUCGGG
rnacentral:lncRNA from 1 species